UACGUAGGGGGCAAGCGUUGUCCGGAUUUAUUGGGCGUAAAGAGCUCGUAGGCGGCUAUUCACGUCGGGUGUGAAAGCUCGAAGCUCAACUUCGAGAUGCCAUUCGAUACGGGAUAGCUAGAGGUAGGUAGGGGAGAUUGGAAUUCCUGGUGUAGCGGUGAAAUGCGCAGAUAUCAGGAGGAACACCGGUGGCGAAGGCGGAUCUCUGGGCCUUACCUGACGCUGAGGAGCGAAAGCUGGGGGAGCGAACAGG
rnacentral:misc_RNA from 1 species